UGACUNGAGUGCAGAAGGGGAGAGUGGAAUUCCAUGUGUAGCGGUGAAAUGCGUAGAUAUAUGGAGGAACACCAGUGGCGAAAGCGGCUCUCUGGUCUGUCACUGACGCUGAGGCUCGAANGCGUGGGUAGCGAACAGGAUUAGGUACCCUGGUAGUNCACGCCGUAAACGAUGAGUGCUAGGUGUUAGGCCCUUUCCGGGGCUUAGUGCCGGAGCUAACGCAAUAAGCACUCCGCCUGGGGAGUACGACCGCAAGGUUGAAACUCAAAGGAAUUGACGGGGGCCCGCACAAGCGGUGGAGCAUGUGGUUUAAUUCGAAGCAACGCGAAGAACCUUACCAGGUCUUGACAUCCCGAUGCUAUUCUUAGAGAUAGGAAGUUACUUCGGUACAUCGGAGACAGGUGGUGCAUGGUUGUCGUCAGCUCGUGUCGUGAGAUGUUGGGUUAAGNCCCGCAACGAGCGCAACCCUUAUUGUUAGUUGCCAUCAUUAAGUUGGGCACUCUAGCGAGACUGCCGGUAAUAAACCGGAGGAAGGUGGGGAUGACGUCAAAUCAUCAUGCCCCUUAUGACCUGGGCUACACACGUGCUACAAUGGUCGGUACAACGAGUUGCGAGCCGGUGACGGCAAGCUAAUCUCUGAAAGCCGAUCUCAGUUCGGAUUGGAGGCUGCAACUCGCCUCCAUGAAGUCGGAAUCGCUAGUAAUCGCGGAUCAGCACGCCGCGGUGAAUACGUUCCCGGGCCUUGUNC
rnacentral:rRNA from 1 species